AGGGUUCGAUCAUGGCUCAGGAUGAACGCUGGCGGCGUGCUUAACACAUGCAAGUCGAACGAGGAUUUAACGGAAUGCGAUUCGUCAAAUGAAAUUAAAUCCGAGUGGCGGACGGGUGAGUAACGCGUGGAUAACCUGCCUCACACAGGGGGACAACAGCCGGAAACGGCUGCUAAUACCGCAUAACAUGAGCAGCCCGCAUGGGCAGCUCACCAAAGAUUUCAUCGGUGUGAGAUGGAUCCGCGUCUGAUUAGCCAGUUGGCGGGGUAACGGCCCACCAAAGCGACGAUCAGUAGCCGACCUGAGAGGGUGACCGGCCACAUUGGGACUGAGACACGGCCCAA
rnacentral:rRNA from 1 species